GAAACUCGCCUACAUAAAGCUGGAGUUACUAGUAAUCGCAGAUCAGAAUGCUGCGGUGAAUGCGUUCCCGGGUCUCGUACACACCGCCCGUCACACCACGGAAGUUGGGGGCGCCCGAAGCCACUUAUCUAACCCUUUUGGGAAGCGAGUGUCGAAGGUGAAAUCAAUAACUGGGGUGAAGUCGUAACAAGGUACC
rnacentral:rRNA from 1 species